GGCGGUUUGCGGCAGUGGGAUCAUUGGGCGGUGGGCGGUGUGGAGGAGUCUCCGCUGGUCCGCAGAAACGAACGAAGGCGCGAGAAUCGGGAAGUUCUGCCUCAGUGACCUGUACGCGUCCUAGCCGCAGUGAAUGUUGCUGAACCCCGGUGACCUCACAGUGGAGGGGCGGCCCCAUGGGGCCAUCGGACCGCGCCGCGCGGGGGCGUUCGCCAGGGCCUCCGCAGAAGCCCGCCUGUGCCCGCAACCGCCCCGAAAUUCUCUCCCUGGCACCGUGUCCGCUUUACGGAGCCCGGAGCAAGGCUCAGAAAAAUGUCCCAGCCAAAAACAUGGUACAUGCCUGUCAUCAGUCGCUGUUGGUCGUGGCACUGAGGCCCAGAUCAUGCCACCUCCUCUAACAAGUGGCUGAGUGGACACCCCACACAUUCUACCCAAGGGCCGUGAGUGGCCAAGAUCGGGGCUCAGAAGUCUCUGAAUCUUCACAGCUGGUCACGUUCAGCUCGGUCACUUCCUGUAAGAUUCCAGGCACUGCAUGCACUGACAUGGGUGCGUGUGGGCCCACUGGGUCCUGCCUGGGAGCCUUCCCUGAAUGUUCAUUUUUUGCAGGUCUGUGUUUGUCUUGGAGUAAGGAUUAUUCUCGCUUGCUGGGGUCAUGGUGUUUUGGCCUCUCCUGGCCUGGACUCUCAAAAACUCAUCAUCCUUCAUAGGUCUGAAGGCUUCUACAUUCCCACCAGCAGGUGGACCAUAUGAACUCAAAACUAGUUGUGGCAGAGGGACCCUGAAGAGAUCUACCCCUGGUGAAUGCCCCCAGGAGUGGGCUGUUCUCACACCUGGUGCCCAGCCUGUGCCCUCGCAGGUCUUGGUGCCUCCACUCAGCUCAAUUCCAGUUUUCUGGCCAUGCCCCGCUGUGUCCCUUUCUCUCUCCUUAGUGCCUAGCUGUGCAAUGUUUGCCUCUCCUUAACAUGUCCUCAGCUGACCCCAUAUCCUCAGUCCUUGCAACCCUGUUCCUCAGUGACACCUGUGUAUUCUCUCCAGUGGAGACACAGGUGGGACACCCCCAAGCUCAUGGUACAUGCCUGUCAUCAGUACCCCUGGACUGUCAUGGUGGGUCAGUCUGCCCUAGGCUGGACUGACCAACCUGUUCAUUCCCCCACAGGAUUGCCCUUUACAGUUCAUGAGUUCCCCCAACUGGAGUGCAGACAAGAGCACUGAUUGAUGGACCAGGUAGACUUGAAACCAGGAAUAGCACAAAAGUUAUCAAAGAGGCUCAGCCAUGGAGAUUGCAAGCUGGGGAUGGAAGUAUCCCUGGAAUUGAGCUGUUCUCACACCUGGUACCUGAGUUAUACCCCUGGUGUCUGGGUACCAAGGUCACUAGCCUUGCCACUUUUCUAUGUUCCUGAUCCCCUACUAAACAGUCCACCUUUUCGCCUACUUCCCCUGACUCCUGUACCCUGUCCCCUCUUUCUGCCUAGUUUGAAGACACUGGUCAUCCCAUAACAUGUCCUGGGCUAAUACAUAUCCUCAAAUCGUUCUUGAAAAUCUGUUCCUCUUCCCUCCUCCCCCUCCCCCUCCCCCCCCCCCCGCUCUUUCCACGGUCUCCCUCUGAUGCCGAGCCGAAGCUGGACGGUACUGCUGCCAUCUCGGCUCACUGCAACCUCCCUGCCUGAUUCUCUUGCCUCAGCCUGCCGAGUGCCUGCGAUUGCAGGCGCGUGCCGCCACGCCUGACUGGUUUUCGUAUUUUUUUUGGUGGAGACGGGGUUUCGCUGUGUUGGCCGGGCUGGUCUCCAGCUCCUAACCACGAGUGAUCCGCCAGCCUCGGCCUCCCGAGGUGCCGGGAUUGCAGACGGAGUCUCGUUCAUUCAGUGCUCAAUGGUGUCCAGGCUGGAGUGCAGUGGCGUGAUCUCGGCUCGCUACAACCUCCACCUCCCAGCAACCCGCCUUGGCCUCCCAAAGUGCCGAGAUUGCAGCCUCUGCCCGGCGGCCACCCCGUCUGGGAAGUGAGGAGCGUCUCCGCCUGGCCGCCCAUCAUCUGGGAUGUGAGGAGCCCCUCUGCCUGGCUGCCCAGUCUGGAAAGUGAGGAGCGUCUCUGCCCGGCCGCCAUCCCAUCUAGGAAGUGAGGAGCGCCUCUUCCCGGCCGCCAUCACAUCUGGGAAGUGAGGAGCGUCUCUGCCCGGCCGCCCAUCGUCUGAGAUGUGGGGAGCAUCUCUGCCCUGCCGCCCCGUCCGGGAUGUGAGGAGCGUCUCUGCCCGGCCGCCCCGUCUGAGAAGUGAGGAGACCCUCUGCCUGGCAACUGCCCCGUCUGAGAAGUGAGGAGCCCCUCCGCCCGGCAGCCGCCCCGUCUGAGAAGUGAGGAGCCCCUCCGCCCAGCAGCCACCCCGUCUGGGAAGUGAGGAGCAUCUCCGCCCGGCAGCCGCCCCGUCUGAGAAGUGAGGAGCCUCUCCGCCCAGCAGCCACCUCGUCCGGGAGGGAGGUGGGGGGGUCAGCCCCCCGCCCGGCCAGCCGCCCCGUCCGGGAGGGAGGUGGGGGGAUCAGUCCCCCACCCGGCCAGCCGCCCUGUCCGGGAGAUGAGGGGCGCCUCUGCCCGGCCGCCCCUACUGGGAAGUGAGGAGCCCUUC
rnacentral:lncRNA from 1 species